UGGGGAAUAUUGGGCAAUGGGCGCAAGCCUGACCCAGCAACGCCGCGUGAGGGAAGAAGGCUUUCGGGUUGUAAACCUCUGUCCUUGGUGACGAAACAAAUGACGGUAGCCAAGGAGGAAGCCCCGGCUAACUAAGUGCCAGCAGCCGCGGUAAUACGUAGGGGGCGAGCGUUGUCCGGAAUUACUGGGCGUAAAGGGUGCGUAGGUGGCCUUUUAAGUUGGAUGUGAAAUACCCGGGCUUAACUUGGGGGGUGCAUCUAAUACUGGGAGGCUAGAGUGCAGGAGAGGGAAGCGGAAUUCCUAGUGUAGCGGUGAAAUGCGUAGAUAUUAGGAGGAACACCAGUGGCGAAGGCGGCUUUCUGGACUGUAACUGACACUGAGGCGCGAAAGCGUGGGGAGCAAACA
rnacentral:rRNA from 1 species